UACGUAGGGUGCGAGCGUUAAUCGGAAUUACUGGGCGUAAAGUGUGCGCAGGCGGCCGAGCAAGUCGAGUGUGAAAGCCCCGAGCUUAACUUGGGAACUGCGCUCGAAACUACUUGGCUAGAGUGUGGCAGAGGGAGGUGGAAUUCCGGGUGUAGCGGUGGAAUGCGUAGAGAUCCGGAAGAACACCGGUGGCGAAGGCGGCCUGCUGGGCAGUAGCUGACGCUGAUGCGCGACAGCGUGGGGAGCAAACAGG
rnacentral:rRNA from 1 species